GCCCGGAUGGCGGAAUUGGUAGACGCGCUGGUCUCAAACACCAGUGGAUUCAACUCCAUGUCGGUUCGAUCCCGACUCCGGGUA
rnacentral:tRNA from 1 species